GGCGUCCUGUUUUUGCGUGCGGGUGUCGUAGAAUACAGUCAGGGAGGUGGGGUUCACGAUUUAAAAGCCGCUAUGUGACACAGCCGCAAGAGCGAACGCUUUUGUACGCAUUCUAAGGUGUCAACGCAAGUAUUUAGAAAAGUAUUAGCCACAUUGUUGCGUGGACCGCGGCCGAGACCGAUCAAACAGGUCCCGUACAAAGCAUGCAUGGUUCCUGAGAGCUCCCACCGAGUCGGACAACAAAGUGUAAUUAAUAACUCAAAGUACCUUUACUCUUCGUCUAAAAGCGAGGUUGCUGUGAUGGCUGAAGAAGCAGAUGAAGAACUCCUCUCUUUGUCGGAAGAAGCUAGGCCUCCGACGCCCCAGAAGGCAGCUCAAGAACCCCGAGCGAGCUUUGAGCUGGGCCCCACGCCACAGCCAGAUGAUGUUGGGGGCUCCAGACACUAUAACAACACGCGAGCAUCUCGUUACGAUCACAGGGAGGAAAAAAAGAAAACAAAAGUGGACGAGGAGUUGCAAGCACUCGGGCUCUGGGAAGAGGACAUGACGAAAGAACAGAAGCUCGAACUCCUGAAAGUUGUUGCCAUGUCCAAGGAGACUGCCAAGAUGGAGGAAGCCGUGCGCAACAGCCACUUCUCCCCCUCAUCGUCUGCGGAAUGGUUUGGAUCAGGAGCACAUGCCAUCGCACCGUCAUCGCCCCUGAGCCACAUGAGUCCAAAGCAAAAGGUGGAAGAAGUGACGCUGGAGUGCGAAGAAGGUGUAUUGCCUCCAAGCCCGGAAAAAUUGGAUGCUCCGGGGACUCUGAAGCGGCUGCCGAACAACUCUCCACAAGCGAUGUACGACGACGUGGACGAGGGAGACGAGUGGUACGGCGGCUUCCGGGCAAGGCAGGGGGAUACCGGCAGAGGGCGCCAGCUGUACUCCUCCGUGCAGUCCAGGCCUGUGAAGGCUGUGUAUGCCAUGGAACACAGGGUAUUGCUCGAGUGGCAGAGGGACAUUCCAGAGCUCAAGGACAAAAGGUUUCAAGACGUUGAGGUUGCGAAUGUGGACGAGGCACGUGACAACCCGUGGGCGCGUGCGCUGUCUGCGCUGCACACGUCCCAGCGCGUGCCCCUGUUCUGCCCCCCCGGGAGCGACCCUAGGGACCACGCGGAGGCCAUCCUGGAGAGCUUCGCGGCGUUCCACGCCUCCCUCAGGGAGCAGCAGAGGGACCCCACGCUUCCCCUCCGAGCCUGGGGGGCACCCGUCGGGGUUGGCAACCAUGCCAAGGGCACCCUGGACGCGGCGACCUCCCGCAGGGCGGGUCGCGGCGACGCGCCGUCGAGCUUCGAGGAGUUUCCGCCACUCUCUGGGAAGGCCUCUAAUCGAGAGGCGAGGCCGCCGGAGAAGGAAGAAAGGCCGCCCGAGAAGGAGGGUCCUCCUGUCGAGCGCAGCCCACGCCCCACGAGCUUUGCAGCAGCCGUGGCCUCUGCCCGGCCCCCCUUGGCUGGCGUGGCCCCCUCCCCUCCCCCGCAGUCGUGGUCCCCCAAGCGCCCCCGGGAGCCAGAGCAAGCGGAGGUGGAGGAGGAUGACGCGGAGGGUUGCUCUGUGCGUCCUUGUCGACCGCCAGCCAACCCUGCAAAGCGGCGCCAAUCCACCAAACCUUCAGAGCCCCCGCCCGACCACGGCACGGCACAGGUAAAUUCAGAAUGCCCCGGGCGGGCGCCGGCACUCUCUGCAUGCGCCGAGCGCAGGCUUCUGUCGUGCGGGGUGGAAACCUGCAGCAAGCUGUGGGGGUAGUUUCUCUGUUCGCAGUAAAAGGAGGGAGCCUCCUGGACGUAACAAUGACGCAAUUUCCAGACUAAUGGACUGAUCCUAUUUCUGCUCAUUCGAGGGCCAAACAUAUCGUGAUGGUGGCAGAAGCGAUUGGAGUCGUGAAGGCUUAGCUCACGAAUGUUUGCGUCGAGGGAGCAGAGAGCUCAUCCUCUUUUUGCUGUGACUGCCUUUCGUUCAACCAAUAAGCAGAAAGAGAGAAACUUCCUCAAUUCCUUCUUUCCAUUUAAGAAAGAGGGAGACCCUCCUUCUUUCUGCGGGGAGUAGCUCAGAGACCCUGCCCCUGUAGGGUGAGGAGAAGAGAAGACUGCAAGAGGGAAUGGAAAGAAGGAUCCUAUAGUCGGUGACAGGUCAAGAACGAAGAAGCUCCUUCCGCCCCUUUCCACUUCAGCGGAGUGAACAAUGGAGAGGAUGUUGCCUCCUCUCCAGCAAUUGCUCUACUAAAGUGGUAAGAGGUGGGAGGAGCUUCCACUUUGCUCUUGUCCUGUCACCGACUAUAGGAAGCGCUAUUCUUCCGGGCACGAGACAAUUCAGUACGUCGUCCUUUAACUGAAAGAGGUUUCGUCAGAGAUCAAAGGAGGCUUCAUAUACGAAAUAUUUGCCUGGACUUUGUCUGUUGUACCUACUCCCCAGCAGAAGUUAAUUCCCAAAGAAAAGGCUCAAUGGCGAGAAUAAUUUGUAGUAAUUAUGUGGAGCUUCACGGAUACUUUCUUGGUUGAUGCACUUUCUCGACUUGUGUUUGCAAACCCCGGGUAGGGAUAUGUGCAUGAAUUUCCCGCUUGUUGCUUCUGCUUCUCCAGUUCCUAAACACUAGAUGCUUCACCUGACGUGGCUGACGCAUUGUUGGGGUACCCUCUUUCUUUUACUGCGCCUUUUUGCCUUUUGGCCUCUCAGCACUGGGCUUUUUCCCUGGGUGCAUAUGACCUUGGAUUAGCUUUAGAAAGGUUCAGAGCCUUUGCAAUUGCCUAUUUAUCUUUUCGUCUCUCUCUUAAGCACACACGUGCACACUUCUGUUGUGCUUGAUUUUUCUGGUUUCAUUAGUAGCACUUCGCGUGAAAUGAGUUUCUAAUCGUGCACUUUCUGCAUGUUGAGUUUCACCUUUUCGUACUGGCACGUGCUUCAAGCUUCACCGCUUUGGACCAUCGGGCUCCGAGCAGCAGUUGUCAUGGGGUAGCGUUUGCGUUAGACAGUUAGGCUCGUAAAUUUUGUUCGCUUUCAUAGGUCGACAUUUGUUGGUUAUGCUUAUAGAUAAAUAACCAACUUUAAAAAGCAGUUAAAAAAAAAUGUCAAUCUCUGUCUCAUUAAACGCGGGAGUUCUCUACAGCCGUGAUAGCCCCCGUAAAGAAAACUUUGUGUGAGAGUUGCCGUCUGUCAGCUCUAUAGGCCCCAAAUGUCUUAUUGGUUAUGCUUUUUUUUUUAUCUUACACUGUUUCACUGCAGUCCUGAGGAAGACAUAUCAGUGAGGUUCUACAUACAGCAGAAGCCAUUUAAGUCUGUAGCGAGCCAAGCCAAGCAGUUGCACAAUGAUGUUCCUAUUUCAUGUUUGUCCUGAGCAAUAAGGACGCACAUACGUAUACAUUGCCAAUUCAAUUCAAUUGUUUUUAUUAGUUACCGAAAAAACAGAUGAACCUAUAGCCAGUUGGCUAGUUUGAGUCCAUUAAAAUGAGACAUGCGAGGUGUGAGCAACGCUGGCUAGUAGUGCGAAAAUGCAUCCGCACAUUUUGUUUUUUUUGUCUUUUAUCAUUUGCGUUUUUCCCCCGCGAGCAUUGUGCCCAUUGCAUGAGUGGUAACUUUGGCAUGGGAGGUGCACCACCGCUCUCGAAAAUUCACUUAGUGGUUUUAAUUACCCACCAAGUUUUUAAUUUCAACCAUAGUUUAAUUUUACUAAGUAAAUAUAUUAUUAACAAAUUUUAGGUAGUUAUCCGACCUAUGGUGACGAUUAGAGUCCUGUAUUAUGUCCCCCUGGCCGUACAACUCAACUGCGCGCACUGCAUUAGUGUAGCUUAUAGCUUUCGAAGCUUUCUUAGAACAAAUCUGGAAAGCUGAAAAAGGCAUCUUUUAUAAGAAUAGGAGCCAUGCUAAAUUUACUAAAGCCAAGAGAAUGGUUAUGAGGGUGAAGGUGAUUUAAGAGAGCAGAAGGUAGGUGCUUUAGUGUCUGGCUAAAUUUAUGCAUAUUUCAAAGAUAGAUAGACAGGAAGUUCCAGAUUUUCGUACCACAUAAUUGGAUUAGGUUUUCUCCACGUAUCUUGUGGCAUUGUGGAAGGUUGAAAUGGCCAGAUGAAUUUCUUCCAAUUGGGCGGGACCUUUUAAGAAGUGUUCUCAUUAAAAAGGAGUUUUUAUCAGCUACUAUUUUUUGGAACGUCGUAGCAAUUCGCCGACGACUUGCACACCACAUUAUUAGGCAUAUGAGCAGAAUGUAGCCCGUAUGAAGUAAAUUGGUAGAAAUCUCUGCACACUUCAUGUGAUGCCUGUGUGCAAAGGAUUCAACUUCUUUUUUGUUUGAAUCACUGCAAUCGCAACGCAUUAGGGAUUCUUCAAAUACGAAGGGGAGGUCUCUUUUUGUCACAACAAACCAAUUUUACCUUGCGAGUUAUGGCGUGGCACGAAACCCAUUACAUAAUUGUGACUGAUGGCCAUAGGCUUUUCUUUUGCUGAUUUAGUUGAGGAAUUUGGAAAUUCAAGACUGGUGGCAUGUCUGCAUUUUUUGCAGCUACCAGUGGGAUUAUGUUCGGUUAUAUUGCACGUGGUUGGCCCACUCGUUGGGGGUUAGCCCCAACGAGUUGGCGUGCUGCCAUGCACAAAGUUUAUUUGCAGUUCAGUUUGCGUAUUGUUUUGCUCGGGGCGUCUUCACUGCAUUCGACUCUUGAAUUUUCACUGCAUUUGACUCUUGAAUUUCUUUUUUCUUCAGAUUGGUAUUCCCCUCCCAAGUAAUUUACAGUCUGGAAGCUGAGCUUCACCAAGGUUCCUGUGGCUGCCAUACUUUUGUGAAAAUGUAGAAAGAAAUAUUUUUGCAGACUCAUGCAAAUGCUCAAAGUUCUAUUUUUACACACUGGCACUUUGCUAUACCACGUUACUUUGUCGCUUUUCUUUGUGUUCAAUAAAAGUUGGGUGAUUAUUA
rnacentral:misc_RNA from 1 species